rnacentral:rRNA from 1 species
AUUGAACGCUGGCGGCAUGCUUUACACAUGCAAGUCGAACGGUAACAGGCCGCAAGGUGCUGACGAGUGGCGAACGGGUGAGUAAUGCAUCGGAACGUGCCCAGUCGUGGGGGAUAACGCAGCGAAAGCUGCGCUAAUACCGCAUACGAUCUAUGGAUGAAAGCGGGGGACCGUAAGGCCUCGCGCGAUUGGAGCGGCCGAUGUCAGAUUAGGUAGUUGGUGGGGUAAAGGCUCACCAAGCCAACGAUCUGUAGCUGGUCUGAGAGGACGACCAGCAAAACUGGGACUGAGACACGGCCCAGACUCCUACGGGGGGCAGCAGUGGGGAAUUUUGGACAAUGGGCGCAAGCCUGAUCCAGCAAUGCCGCGUGCAGGAAGAAGGCCUUCGGGUUGUAAACUGCUUUUGUACGGAACGAAACGGUCCUGGUUAAUACCUGGGGCUAAUGACGGUACCGUAAGAAUAAGCACCGGCUAACUACGUGCCAGCAGCCGCCGUAAAAC